rfam:Salmo salar isolate Sally breed double haploid chromosome ssa04, whole genome shotgun sequence.
AAUGCACCAAUUUGUAAGUCGCUCUGGAUAAGAGUGUCUGCUAAAAUGACGUAAA